CUCAGUGGAGGUGCUCACAAGUGCAAGGUCAACAGCAUCCUGGGCACUUUGUGCAAGGAUCACUUCCCGGGCCUAGUCCACAUUGGUGGAAGGUACGAGCCGGCCUGGACGUGGGAGCACUAUGCCCACGCCGCCGAUCAGCUCGAUAGGGAUGGCAGGUGCUUCGACAACAAGGCAGAGAGGGUCAAGGCCGAACUGUGGGAUUUUUACAGGUGUGACGAGGGAUACGAGGAAUGCGCGUCGGUUACGUCUCACAACCGAUGCAUCAAGCUUGUAAAGGACUUGCACUACGAGGUGCAAGUCCAGUGCAUCAUAAACUACGGUGCUAUGUUCCUUAAGCAGAAGAUCAAAAAAGAAGUUGCAAGAAAUAUGAAGUGACCCGGGAGCAGUACUUACAGGUGCCUGCGUGGUGGUGCCGCAAUGAUUCGAUGCGCUGGGAACACAUCGUGGACACGUGGUUCAAACCCGAGUGGGAGGCCGCGCACAACGCUGGUCGAGAGCAGCGUUUGCUUAUGCCAGGGCCAGCACAUCAUCAAGGAAGCCUUAGCAACGAGGAAUACAGAGCUAGAUGGUCCUCAUCACAUUCAGGCGCUGAGUGCUCCCAGUUCAUGGGAUGGGCUUUGGCUCACAAGGGCAAGGCGUCUGAGGUCACCUACGACCCGGACGUCCGCCCUCGGUGUACUCCAAUCCCUCCGUCCACGCCCGCAUCAAUAUGUACACAAAGGCGGGAAGGCAGGUUCAUGGGCCUGACUGGGAUCCGAGUGCUCAUGACCUUGAUGGAGAACUCAUCAUGAAGGUGGGAGGAGGGAAGAAGUAUGGCUGGUACUUUAUAGGCGAGGGCACCCUGGACACGGCCUCUAACCCCACUCUCGCCCAGGUUCGAGUCAGGACCACGGACAGUGGCCCGCUCAUAUGCCCAAGGCUAUCCGCGGCAGAGCUCCAAGUACAGG